AGCGGGGCCGCAGUUUGCCGGCCAGUGACGAGUACGACUCGCCCGAGGUCGAAUCCGACUCGGCCAGCGACCCGGGACUGGUGCGGUCCUCGUCCCUGCACCGCGGCCAGCGCUCCUUCCACAGAGAUAUGUCACGGUGCGCCGAGUCUUCCAGCUCCUCCUGCCAGGUGUCUCCUGACGUCAGGUCAAGGUCAUUCUCCGUCAAACGCACCAAACGGAAGAGGCGCCGCGCUCGCACGCCCGUGCUGAUGCCGCCGUCACCCGAGUACGGCACGGCCGCCGUCGGCCGCGGUCGGC